AACCUUCAAGUAGGCAUUUAACUCUGCCACGCAAGUAACAAUGCUAUAUACCGAUUAACAUUUGAGUAACUCCGUCAUUCUCUGUUUGCAGAGCUUCACUUUAAGAUCAUAUCCAUGGAAACUCACUUGCUCAUUCUUGAUAUGCACUGCAGGCUCCGUUGAAGGUUCCAUUGUGGCCCUCGUGGUUGAGAGAAAGAACUUAUCAGUUUAGUCAAUCGGUUGGGGCUGGUAGUUGUUUACUGUCGUCUACGCGGCUAUAAAUUGUUCGGCAUUGGGCUACUUUCUUCAGAGUUCAGUGAUUAAAGAACGUGGGCGGUGUUUGUCAAUGCAUACAGUCCUCUUGGCAGGGUCAUUGUUGCUGCUACUGGUUUACUGCUCGUUAGGGAGGAAUUGUUCACAGGCAGGGUGAUUGGAGCAGGAUUGAUUGUUUUCGGUCUUUAAUUGGUUGUUUGGGGGAAGAGUAGAGGUGAUGUAGGCUUGAAUAGGGAUGAAGAAAGAGCAAUUGAACUGAUAGUGUUGGUGGUGGUCAAUAGGCAUCACAUAAAUCAUAUUCUUCACAUAUUUUUAUUUAUUUAUUUUGGAUGUUCAAGAGAUCUUUAUAAUACAAAAUGAUUUCUUAGCA